GAUGAAGAACGCAGCGAAAUGCGAUACGUAAUGUGAAUUGCAGAAUUCAGUGAAUCAUCGAGUCUUUGAACGCACAUUGCGCCCCCUGGUAUUCCGGGGGGCAUACCUGUCCGAGCGUCAUUGCUGCCCUCAAGCACGGCUUGUGUGUUGGGCCUCCGUCCUCCUCCCGGGGGACGGGCCCGAAAGGCAGCGGCGGCACCGCGUCCGGUCCUCGAGCGUAUGGGGCUUCGUCACCCGCUCUUGUAGGCCCGGCCGGCGCUUGCCGACACAUCAAUCUUUUUUCCAGGUUGACCUCGGAUCAGGUAGGGAUACCCGCUGAACUUAAGCAUAUCAAUAAGCGGAGGA
rnacentral:misc_RNA from 1 species